AAAAACUUCGGCAAGAACGUGGAGCUUGUGUGUGGUGAGACUUGUGCGCUAACUUAGACCACAAGUCCCUCACGAGCCCUGUUUUUACGAACCCUGUGUGAACCGUAAUAUUUAUUCCAUCCACGUAAUACGGAAUUUCUAGUCUAAAGUCUUCUUCAUAUCACGAGAAUAUGAUAAAAA
rnacentral:misc_RNA from 1 species